CCAGAAUUGGGACCCUGCUCUGCAGCACACAUGUCUUAGCCGAGUUUAAGAGGAAGGCUGAAGUCGUGUUUGGGGAUCCCACUGAGUGGACCAGUUCUGUCUUGCAGGAGCUUGGGACCAUUGCAGUUGGAUUAACUAAGGCAGAGCUCCGGAUGCUUGACAAGGAUUUGAUGCCAUAUUUCCAGCCAGCAGCAAUAAAAUGCCUUCCCGAUGAGAUAUUCAAAGAGCUGUCCGCAGAGCAGAUCGCCUCCCUGGGUCCGGAGAACGCCGC
rnacentral:lncRNA from 1 species